AAAUGCAGCAACAGUUUUUUCUACCAUCAGGUUUUCAGAAACUGGUGUAUAUUUUGUGUUUGCAGGCAAAUUUCUUAUUCCUGAUUAAGAAAAUUUUCAGCAUACAUUUUGAGCCUAGGUCCAUUUUUGUGAGACAUGAGACGCCUUCUUUACUGCCUGUAUUGCUUCCUAAAGGCAAACGAUAAAGGCCAUUGAGGUUGUUAAGUUAUUUGAUCAUGUUGAUCUGCCUGAAAACUUGGAAUCACAAAAUUUUUCAAUGUACUCGAUGAUUCAAAGCCUCAGUCAUCUUAGCAAGCAAAGCCGGUGGAGAACCUGAAGAGAUAUCAAUGUUGGGCAUUCAUUUUCCUGCUAGAUUGUCUCAUGAUCUCUGAAGGCAUUUUUAAAGACAUGUAUGUUGACCAUGUAGCUCAAUUAUCUUCUUUGAAAGGGUUGAAACCGAAGGUUUAAUGUUCGAAUUGUAUGCCUUUAGUAGGUCUUAAUAAAAGACGCUGCAGAUUGUAUGCCUUUGUUAGUUUUGUGCUAAUGCACUAAUGUCCACUGGCUGAAAAUACCACACCUCAGAACCCCAAAUUAUUUUGUUGAUAAAGAUAGCAUUUGUGG
rnacentral:misc_RNA from 1 species